rnacentral:lncRNA from 1 species
ACUAGCAGAUAUUUUACUGAUAGAUUAUAAUUCUACAAUUUCACAUCACAAACCAAUGGAAGUCAAACAAAAUCAAUUGACACAAAAUCCAGACUUUAUUGUAUCAUCUAAAACAUAUGUUUCAAAUGACUUCAAUCAUCAAAAAAAUAUAAAUUUUUUUAUGGGACUCUUCCGUGCCCAAAUUUUACCCUAGUAGCGUCGAAUUUACAUUGAAUUUUGGAUCCUUGUACAUUUCUCCAAAAGUAUGUGAAGCUUUGUCCACAACGGCCUUUUUCACCUCAUUUUCCUCCCAUGCACGCCAAAAUGGAUGCACAAUACUGUAUGCGCAUCCUUGAGAAUUGUUGUGGUCGUUUACUAAAUAUGUUGCAUUUUCAGCCCUGCGUGCCAUCACCCAUGAAUGAACAAAUAUGAUGUAAUCACACAUAAUUUAUAUACAUUAUAGAGUAAAUUAAUGAUCAAUGAUUAAAUUUCAAACCUAGAUCAAUACUUUUGUACACCAAACCAGAAUCCAUGAUAUAACGAAUGACUUAUACACAAAAAUAGAAUAAUUGAAUAAUUUUCAAACUUAGUUGAAUAAACUAAUACAGUAAGUGAAUUUACUCCAUAAUUUUCUGAGUGUUCUCACCACUGACAUAUUAAAUUCAACGAAUUCCAUUUCAAUAUGCACUUAAUUAGUUCAUAAGAUAGUUUCUGAAUAACAUAUCAAACAUACUGAACAGAAUAAUACAUUUCCUGAACAAACAUAACAAAUAUUCUAAAUAAUAACUUCUACUUUCUGAAUAACUUAACAAAUACACCGAUCACAUAAUAAUUACCUUAUACCCAAUUAAUAAAAAUAUCUUACGAAUAACACAACAAACAUACUGAACAACAACCGAUGUAUACUGAAUAAACUGUAUUCUGAAUAACUACAACUAUUUUUGAAUAACCUGAAAAAUAUACUUAAUAACUUAGUAUAAUUUCUAUAUAACUUAACAAAUCUUCUUAAUAUGAAAAAACCUAAAUUAGAUAUAAGAGGAAUACCUCAAGCAGUUUUCCAAUAGAGUGGGUGGGAAAGAACAUCCUAUAAAAAUGUUUAAACUAAAAAUUAAAAAGAGAGGAAAACACUCUAAUUUGGGCGGCUUACCAGAACAUGUACUCCCUUAUCCUUGAGUACCCUAUAGUUUGUCAUCAGCUGCUUCAACUUAUUGGAAGAGUGAAUUUGAUAAAGCAACAAGAGAAUUAGAAAAUGGGCAAAGGAUUUGAAGUUGAAAAGGAAAAAGAGAAAUAUUUAUUCUUACUAAUAACAAGUCUGAAAAGAAAACACCUAAAAUAAUAUAGAUAACUCACCAAAAGAGAGUCCAGUAUUCAUGGAAGAAUGCAUCGAAAAGCAUCAGAAAAUACUGCAAACAUUGUUUUUAAAGAUAAAUACAUCAUGG